rnacentral:rRNA from 1 species
AGUCACUGACAUUAGAUACCCGCGUAGUCCCAGCCGUAAACAAUGUGCGUUAGGUGUGCCGGUAACCACGCGUUACUGAUGCGCCGAAGAGAAAUCGUGAAACGCACCACCUGGGAAGUACGGUCGCAAGGCUGAAACUUAAAGGAAUUGGCGGGGAGCACCACAACAGGUGGAGCCUGCGGUUUAAUUGGAUUCAACGCCGGACAUCUCACCGGAUAAGACAGCUGAAUGAUUGUCAAUCUGAAGGUUUUACAUGACUAGCUG